GCUACGGGAGGCAGCAGUGAGGAAUAUUGGUCAAUGGCCGUAAGGCUGAACCAGCCAAGUAGCGUGAGGGAAGACUGCCCUAUGGGUUGUAAACCUCUUUUAUGCGGGGAUAAAGGUGUCCACGUGUGGAUGUUUGCAGGUACCGCAUGAAUAAGGACCGGCUAAUUCCGUGCCAGCAGCCGCGGUAAUACGGAAGGUCCGGGCGUUAUCCGGAUUUAUUGGGUUUAAAGGGAGCGUAGAUGGGUUGUUAAGUCAGUUGUGAAAGUUUGCGGCUCAACCCCGGCCUGCCGUCGGAACUGGGUGCCUUGAGUGGGCGAGAAGGAUGCGGAAUGCGUGGUGUAGCGGUGAAAUGCAUAGAUAUCACGCAGAACCCCGAUUGCGAAGGCAGCAUACCGGCGCCCUACUGACGCUGAGGCACGAAAGUGCGGGUAUCGAACAGGAUUAGAUACCCUGGUAGUC
rnacentral:rRNA from 1 species